CCUACGGGAGGCAGCAGUGGGGAAUUUUCCGCAAUGGGCGCAAGCCUGACGGAGCAAUACCGCGUGAGGGAGGAAGGCUCUUGGGUCGUAAACCUCUUUUAUCAGGGAAGAACGCAAUGACGGUACCUGAUGAAUCAGCAUCGGCUAACUCCGUGCCAGCAGCCGCGGUAAUACGGAGGAUGCAAGCGUUAUCCGGAAUUAUUGGGCGUAAAGCGUCCGCAGGUGGUUGUGAAAGUUUGCUGUCAAAGCGCGAGGCUCAACUUCGUACCGGCGGUGAAAACUUCACGACUAGAGCUAGGUAGGGGUCACGGGAAUUCCCAGUGUAGCGGUGAAAUGCGUAGAUAUUGGGAAGAACACCAGCGGCGAAAGCGCGUGACUGGGCCUGAGCUGACACUCAUGGACGAAAGCUAGGGGAGCGAAAGGGAUUAGAUACCCCUGUAGUCCUAGCCGUAAACGAUGACACGUAGUGUGCCGUAUCGACCCGGCAGUGCGUACGCACGCGUAGUGUCGCGUGGAGUCGCGCGCGAGUAGUAGAACGUACGAAAGAAGUAAGUACGGCGUUGAGACGUUGCCGACGGCGACGACGAGGGAGGAGG
rnacentral:rRNA from 1 species